rnacentral:tRNA from 2 species
CGCGGGGUGGAGCAGCCUGGUAGCUCGUCGGGCCCAUAACCCGAAGGUCGUCGGUUCAAAUCCGGCCCCCGCAACCA